CUUAUUACUCCUCACCUCAACGAGAGAGACAAAACAGGUGUGGUCAAGCAAGCCACAGAGUGAAGGGUAAAUGGUAAAAGGAUUUGCAUUUCCACAGCACUUCUAUAGUGUAGUGGCAGCUUAAAGUGCUCUACAACAUGUCAGGAUCCAGUUGGCGUCUGCUCUCUCUCUGUGUCCAUGUUUUCUUUUCCCCCAUGGCUGGGCGGGGCCUCCUGGUACCUACUGCAUCCAGCCUCCUCUGCACACCUGCUGCUCAUCAACUUGGUUCCCUGCUCUUCACACCUGCAGCAUAUAUAAGCCAGUCUCUCCCUGCACUCAUCGCCAGUUCGUUGUUUCAUCCCUCGUGCCCUGCCAUUUGCCUGCCCUCAGCCCUGCCUCACCCAUCCUUGUCGUCUCCAGCAACCUGUUCCACUCCCCUGUGUCCUCAUCGGUCUGCUUUUGUUUCUUUUUGAGCCUUUUUGUGUCAGAAUAAACUGUCUUUUGCACUAGAUCUGCA